UGCGCAGGCGGUUUUGUAAGUCUGUCGUGAAAUCCCCGGGCUCAACCUGGGAAUUGCGAUGGAGACUGCAAGGCUAGAAUCUGGCAGAGGGGGGUAGAAUUCCACGUGUGGCAGUGAAAUGCGUAGAGAUGUGGAGGAACACCGAUGGCGAAGGCAGCCCCCUGGGUCAAGAUUGACGCUCAUGCACGAAAGGCGUGGGAGCAAACA
rnacentral:rRNA from 1 species